rnacentral:rRNA from 1 species
GACGAACGCUGGCGGCGUGCUUAACACAUGCAAGUCGAACGGAAAGGCCCUGCUUUUGUGGGGUGCUCGAGUGGCGAACGGGUGAGUAACACGUGAGUAACCUGCCCUUGACUUUGGGAUAACUUCAGGAAACUGGGGCUAAUACCGGAUAGGAGCUCCUGUUGCAUGGUGGGGGUUGGAAAGUUUCGGCGGUUGGGGAUGGACUCGCGGCUUAUCAGCUUGUUGGUGGGGUAGUGGCUUACCAAGGCUUUGACGGGUAGCCGGCCUGAGAGGGUGACCGGCAACAUUGGGACUGAGAUACGGCCCAGACUCCUACGGGAGGCAGCAGUGGGGAAUAUUGCACAAUGGGCGGAAGCCUGAUGCAGCAACGCCGCGUGCGGGAUGACGGCCUUCGGGUUGUAAACCGCUUUCGCCUGUGACGAAGCGUGAGUGACGGUAAUGGGUAAAGAAGCACCGGCUAACUACGUG